rnacentral:lncRNA from 1 species
GCAGUUCAUACGAUCACAUAUUUACAUAAUCAAGUAAGUACGAAAAGAACACAAAAAAACCAAAAUAUGAAAGGUUUCUUUGGAGUUGUUAUGUUUCUGUUCUUAUUUAUUACGGUAUCUUUAGCCAGUCGCAAAAGUUUAACAAGUAUUGGAUCGAAAAGACUAGUUCCAGGAGGUCCAGACAAUGCGACAUCUCCAUCUAAUCCACCAGCGUUUGUAACUGAUAUUGAAAUAAAGAGACUAGUUCCAGGAGGUCCAGAUAAUGCGACAUCUCCAUCUAAUCCACCAGCGUUUGUAGCAAAUAUUGAAAUGAAAAGAAAAGUUCCAGGAGGUCCGAACAAUCAGACAUCUCCACCUACCCCACCAUCUUUUUAGUGGAUAUAUAUUUUAAAAGUUCAAUAAAUUAAUAAUCACAAACUUUCUGUCAAUCUAAUCUAAUAUUGGUUUAGUUAUGAUUUUUUCAAAAAAAUAAAAAAUAAAAAUAAUAAGUAUUUUUUCUAUACACUAUAUUGUUCAUAUAAAAAAAAUGCUGAAUGUGAAAUAUAUAAUUUUGAAAAAAAAAUCCUAAUACCAUUUUUUAGAAAGAAUCCUAAUAGCAUUUGAUUAAUUGCUUACCUGACUUUCCGAAGAAAUCAUAAUAUUAAAAACACUGAAGUACACACCACUAAAAAUAUUUUUUCUGUGUGAAAAAGACCAUCACGUGAACAGACACAUCUAUUCAUUCAAGAUCCAUCAUUUCUCCUCGAGUGUUCCCAUCGCCAAUCAACAACAGUUUUCUUAGACUAUAAUAAAUGUUAAUUUGGCAUUUAUUGAGGAGUGGCUAAAUAUAGUCUACUUUGUGCCUUUGUUUUUCUCUUGUGAUCAAAGUGUCAACAAAUACAUUCAUCUGUUUUUGUUACUCAUGGCAGACAAAUUACAAAAAGAUGCAAGAAAUUACGUUGAGUAUCAUUGAUAAAGACAUUACUUUACUCGACGAUUUAUGCGAAGAUGCAUCAGAGGAGAACGGCUAGGGGUGUCAAAACAGAUAAAAACUAAUGGGUCGAUCAGGACCAAUCCAAACCACGAAUUUUAAUGGAUAGAAAAAUUGGGUACAAAUGGAUUAAUGGGUAAAUGAGUUAAUGGACUUAAAUGGUUUGGAUUGUAAUGGAUAAUGAGUUAUUCAUAACCAAAUCAAUAAAAAUCUAUAACAAACCUAACAUCAAAUCAAAUAUAUAUAUAUAAAAAAGUAACCAAACCAAAUUUUUAAACCAGUUUACUACACCAAAUUCUAUUUACUUUUCACAUGUACAACGAAAUUACAAUAACCUAAAUCUCACUUAAUCAUAACUUUUUUUAUGUUAAAACCCAAUUUCUCAUAUAUAUAUGUGGGGUUUUAGAAGUUAAAUCAUAUUUUUUUGCCAAAUACAUAAAAUAUUUUUUUUGACAAAACUAAAACUUGAUUUUUUCCAUCAAAAGCGCUAAAUCUCUUCUUUUUUUUUGUUGUCAAAAUCGUAAAAUUGUGUGUUUUCACCAGAUCCACAAAAUCAUGUAUUCCUGCAAAAACUGCAAAAUCAUGUUUUUCUGUCAAAAUCGAAAAAUCGUUUUUUCUAGCCAAAACCGAAAAAUUGUGUUUUCUCGCAAAAAUCGCAAAAUUGGGUUUUCCUGCCAAAACCACAAAAUUGAGCUUUCCCUCCAAAACUGCAAAAUUGUGCUUUCCCGCCAUGACCAUAAAAUCGAGUUUUCCCACAUAAAAUGUAAAUUGAGUUUUCUCACCAAAAACCGCAAAUUUGUGUUUGCCAGCCAAAACCGUAAAAUUGAGUAUUUUUGCAAAAUGUUAAACUGAACGUUCCCUCUUAAACUGUAAAAUCUUUUUUUUCCUGUCAAAACAAUAAAUUAAAGCUUUCCGCCUUUUGAAAAAAACAAGCUUUCCUGCCAAAACCGCAAAUUAAGUUUUUCCGCCCAUAUCGCAAAUUUAGUUUUCCUGUCAAAACCCUAAAAUUUAGGUUUCCCGCCAAAACAGUAAAAUCUUGUUUUCUUGCCAUAAUUGUAAAAUUAUUUUCCGCCAAAUCUGUAAAAUUGAGUUUUCCACCAAAACAUAAAAAUCUUUUUUCCGUAAAAUUGAUUUUUCUGCCAAAACCGCAACAUUGUAUUUUUCCGCCACACCUCAAAAAUCUUAUUUUCCUGACAAAACAGCAAAAUUGAGUUUUCCUGUAAAAACCGUAAAUCGUGUUUUCCAUCCAAAACUGUAAAUUGUUUUUCCCUAAAAUCUGUAAAAUUGAGAUUUCCGACAAAGCCACAAAAUGGUGUUUUCUUCUAAAACCGUAAAAUUGAGUUUUCUUGCCAAGAUCACUUAAGAAAAUAAGAAAAUCUUAUUUUCCACCAAAACCUUAUAUUUGUAUUUAUUUUCAACCCUAAAAAUAAUACUUUUUACUUAAUAACUUUUAAAAUAUAAAAUUAUUGUUCAUGGAUUAACCGUUUAAACAAUUAACUCAUUAACUUAAAUGAGUUGUAGAUUGAUCCAAUCGAUUUGUCAAAUGUAUUGGUUUAAUACAUGGCCCAUAUAAUUUCAAAAUCAUUUCGGUGUUUUGGUUCGGUUUACCCAUUUUGGAGCCAAUUAAACAUAUUUUACUUUCAUAUUUUUAAACAUAUUUUCUUUACUAAAAUCAUAAAAAAUUAUAAAUUCAUAUAAGAAUAAAAUAUACGAAUCCGGCGCAUAGCACCGGAAUACCGCUAGUAAAGAAUAUGAUAGUAUAUUAUGAAUUAGUUAAGUUUUUAAAACUAACUAGUCAAAAAUUGAUUUGAUAACGUUAGCUUCAAUUAAUGUAUAAAAAUCUAGAAAUUUUAAUGGUACAAUUCAUAAAUGACACGCCAGGUUAAAUUUGAUUCUAUAUAGUGUUUUUGUUUAAGUAGAAUAGAUUUUAUAUAUAUAUGUAUAUAAUUAUUGAUUUAAUAUUUAGAUUAGGUAUGAGUAGUAGAUCUUUUUGAAAAAGGGUUUCAACUUCCUUAUAUAAAUUUAUCUAUAUUUAUUAGAUAUGAGUUCAAAUGUACUAAAAGUGUUUUUAUCAACAAAUUUCUCUGUUCAUGCAUUUAAUCUGUUUAGAUAUUCAAUUUUAAUAUUGAUAAGGUGACAAGGAAAAAAGAAAUACGUGUCUUUCUAUUCAAAUAUUUUUUUGUUAGAUUUAGUUUUUUUUCCUUUGAGAUAUCUAUACUAUUAAAAGAGUUAUUUGUUAGAAUGGUCAUGUUGUGUACCAUAAGUAUGUGCAUACUAAAUAUUUACCUUCAUUUACAGACACUAUAAAUUAUCUCAUUUCAAGCAGUUCAUACCAUCACAUAUUUACAUAAUCUAGUAAGUACGAAAAGGACACAAAAAACCAAAAUAUGAAAGGUUUCUUUGGAGUUGUUAUGUUUCUGUUCUUAUUUAUUACGGUAUCUUUAGCCAGUCGCAAAAGUUUAACAAGUAUUGGAUCGAAGAGACUAGUUCCAGGAGGUCCAGACAAUGCGACAUCUCCAUCUAAUCCACCAGCGUUUGUAACUGAUAUUGAAAUAAAGAGGCUAGUUCCAGGAGUUCCAGAUAAUGCGACAUCUCCAUCUAAUCCACCAGCGUUUGUAGCAAAUAUUGAAAUGAAAAGAAAAGUUCCAGGAGGUCCGAACAAUCAGACAUCUCCACCUACCCCACCAUCUUUUUAGUGGAUAUAUAUUUUAAAAGUUCAAUAAAUUAAUAAUCACAAACUUUCUGUCAAUCUAAUCUAAUAUUGGUUUAAUUAUGAUUGUUUCAAAAAAAUAAAAAAUAAAAAUAAUAAGUAUUUUUUUCUAUACACUAUAUUAUUCAUUAAAAAAAAUGCUGAAUAUGAAAUAUAUAAUUUUCAAAAAAAAAAAAUCCUAAUACCAUUUUUUAGAAAGAAUCCUAAUAGCAUUUGAUUAAUUGCUUACCUGACUUUCCGAAGAAAACAUAAUAUUAAAAACACUGAAGUACACACUACUAAAAAUAUUUUUUCUGUGCGAAAAGAUCAUCACGUGAACAGACACAUCUAUUCAUUCAUGAUCCAUCAUUUAUCCUGGAGUGUUCCCAUCGCCGAUCAACAA